rnacentral:tRNA from 1 species
CAUUGAAGAGCUGUACUCUUAGCGCUAGUCUUUUAAACUAGAGAAAAUUUAUAAUAUUUUCAAUGA